UGCGUACCCCUUUGUGUUUUUCUACCGGCUCGCAAACGUUUUCCUCUUGGAGUCUCUCGAUACUUCGGAUGCCUCGGACAAAUUGGAUUAGCUCUUUCCAGGAGAAAUGUCGCUGGGACGAACAAGCAGCCAGCAGAUAACGAUAAGGCAUCUUUAUUUACAGCGUGUUUCUUAAAUCGAUUCGUCGUAAAUAGUAUGCUAUUUGCCGUGUAACAGGAUUGAUGUAAAUCUUAUUAUACGAAUAACUUACAUAUUUACCAAAGGAGAACAUGCUGCUAAAUUUAGAAGCUUAUCUAGAGUUGUCUGUUCGCUGACGAUUAACACUAGAACAACCAGCGUUAUCUUAUGUGCAGAACUUUGAAAUUAGAGUACAAACUUCUUAUUCAUUCUUUUUCCGAAGCAACGACAAAAAAUUUUGAUGUGUGAUUAUCCGAAUUUUGGUUUUGAAACUAGCUACGAAGAAAAGAAUAAAAAAUUUAGUUUAUAAUG